CGGGAUGGGGGAGGUGAUGAGUUAUCCGUGUUCCCUCUGUGCUUUUCUGCUUCUAAUACAAAGAUUUUUAGUUUGUUUUUGCUUUUUGGUAGAGACAGGGUCGCACUAGGUUGCCCAGGCUGCUCUCAAACUCCUGGCCUCAAGUGAUCCUCCUGCCUUGGCCUUCCAACAUGCUGGGAUUACAGGCAUGAACCACUGUGCCCAAUCAACACACAGCAGAGUAAGUCUUUGGCCUUCACAACCAAAACAUAACCAAAUUACUAUUUACUGCUUCUAUCAGGACAAUGUUCUCCACUUGUUUUUGGUUUGUCUGUCUUUGGGAGAAAUUCCUUCUCUGUGCUGGGAAUGCCUCUUUGGCAGCCCCUGUAACCCAAACUGGCUGUCAGGCACGUCAUCACUGACAACGUACUGCAUGUCUGUCUGCUUCUCUGGGACUUGAUCUGAGACCAAAAUGGGGCAGUCUGGAAAAUUCCCUGCAAAAACAAAAUAGAUCCCAAAACUAGUAACAUGACAGAUCCUUAAAAGAUGAAAUGAAUAUUCAACUUUUGACUCUGUAUUUCCAAGGGGAAACUGGUUUCUAAUAUUUGUGGAAAGAAAAAUGUCCUUUAAGAAGCAAACCAAAAAAAUACAAAAUUGUGACCCAGAGGACAAUGAGUGACUUCUUGACUUCCUAGGGGUGCUGUGGCUUUUGAGUUCUGAUGGUGACAAAAAUAUUUUGGCAGAGACUCGGUCUCAAAACAAAACUAAAGUGACCGCCUGCAUCCUCCAGGACAGGCCCCCAGGACUCAGUGACCUGCCGGCCGCAGUGCUUACCAGGCACGUUUCUGCCAUUGGGUUUCAGUUCAUGCUGAAGAAUCCGCCCAAAGGCAUUGUGUUCCACGCAGAAGGUAUGGUCCAGCACCGGUGUGAUGUCAUUCUCUCUGUUGAAGACAGAAGGUGACGUCGGUUAGAGUUCAGCCACAACGUGCCAACGAAAGGAACAU